rnacentral:rRNA from 1 species
CUGAAGCAACAAAUGCCCUGCUUCCAGGAAAAGCCUCUAAGCAUCAGGUAACAUCAAAUCGUACCCCAAACCGACACAGGUGGUCAGGUAGAGAAUACCAAGGCGCUUGAGAGAACUCGGGUGAAGGAACUAGGCAAAAUGGUGCCGUAACUUCGGGAGAAGGCACGCUGACACGUAGGUGAAGUGAUUUACUCAUGGAGCUGAAGUCAGUCGAAGAUACCAGCUGGCUGCAACUGUUUAUUAAAAACACAGCACUGUGCAAACACGAAAGUGGACGUAUACGGUGUGACGCCUGCCCGGUGCCGGAAGGUUAAUUGAUGGGGUCAGCGCAAGCGAAGCUCCUGAUCGAAGCCCCGGUAAACGGCGGCCGUAACUAUAACGGUCCUAAGGUAGCGAAAUUCCUUGUCGGGUAAGUUCCGACCUGCACGAAUGGCGUAAUGAUGGCCAGGCUGUCUCCACCCGAGACUCAGUGAAAUUGAACUCGCUGUGAAGAUGCAGUGUACCCGCGGCAAGACGGAAAGACCCCGUGAACCUUUACUAUAGCUUGACACUGAACAUUGAGCCUUGAUGUGUAGGAUAGGUGGGAGGCUUUGAAGUGUGGACGCCAGUCUGCAUGGAGCCGACCUUGAAAUACCACCCUUUAAUGUUUGAUGUUCUAACGUGGACCCGUAAUCCGGGUUGCGGACAGUGUCUGGUGGGUAGUUUGACUGGGGCGGUCUCCUCCUAAAGAGUAACGGAGGAGCACGAAGGUUGGCUAAUCCUGGUCGGACAUCAGGAGGUUAGUGCAAUGGCAUAAGCCAGCUUGACUGCGAGCGUGACGGCGCGAGCAGGUGCGAAAGCAGGUCAUAGUGAUCCGGUGGUUCUGAAUGGAAGGGCCAUCGCUCAACGGAUAAAAGGUACUCCGGGGAUAACAGGCUGAUACCGCCCAAGAGUUCAUAUCGACGGCGGUGUUUGGCACCUCGAUGUCGGCUCAUCACAUCCUGGGGCUGAAGUAGGUCCCAAGGGUAUGGCUGUUCGCCAUUUAAAGUGGUACGCGAGCUGGGUUUAGAACGUCGUGAGACAGUUCGGUCCCUAUCUGCCGUGGGCGCUGGAGAACUGAGGGGGGCUGCUCCUAGUACGAGAGGACCGGAGUGGACGCAUCACUGGUGUUCGGGUUGUCAUGCCAAUGGCACUGCCCGGUAGCUAAAUGCGGAAGAGAUAAGUGCUGAAAGCAUCUAAGCACGAAACUUGCCCCGAGAUGAGUUCUCCCUGAGACUUAGAGUCUCCUGAAGGAACGUUGAAGACGACGACGUUGAUAGGCCGGGUGUGUAAGCGCAGCGAUGCGUUGAGCUAACCGGUACUAAUGAACCGUGAGGCUUAACCUUACAA